GUAAGGUCGAGGUACUACCCCAGUCGGGCUGCUCCAUAUUUUGAGCAGGAAAUUCCUGCUGUGCCCUACCUCAGUUAUAACUUAAUUGGCUAGAGCGUCGACACGGUAUGUCGAAGACGCGGGUUCGAAUCCCGCUGGAGCGGUCAAUUUUUGAUAUGAUAUUCAAAAAUGUUUAGAAUUCCUAAUUGUGGGUAACACAAAAAUAAAAAUCGUACAUAUUAAAAAUAGCAUGGUGUCGUCUCCUGUCAAAGAUUUUCAUUGUAAUAUGAAACUUUGAAUAGUUACGAGUCUC
rnacentral:misc_RNA from 1 species